CAGAGCCCCAAGAAGUGGUAUUUUUUGAGUCGUGAUUAACAGUUUAACUCUUUGGAUCCUGCAGUCUGCGAGGAGCACAGGGGAGGGGCGGGGUGUCAGGCAGCCUUUGUCCCUCAGCCCACGAACCCGCAGACACGGACGCCCCGCGGGGCCGGCGGGCUCGGGUGACCGCGCUGUGGCGCCCCCCGGUGCAGCGCACGGCGUGGAGCGCACGGCCUGGCUCGCCCCCUGCCGUCGGCGCCUCCGGGGCGCGCAGCCUCCGGGACCGGGACCGGGACCGGGACCAGCCUCCGGGGCGGGCCGUCUCCACCUGCGGCCCGGUCCCGCGGUCAGCAGGUGCUCAGCCCCCAGGGCUGCGUCCCGGAGGCGCACAGGGUCCGCGAGCUCGGGUGGCCACGGGAAGGGUGGAGGGUGGAGGGGACCCGCAGCCGCCCGGGACCAGGACCGAGACCGGGACCAGGACCAGGACCGGGACCAGAACCGGGACCAGGACCGGGAUCGCGGCGCGCACGCUCGUGCCCCCCGCCCCGUUGCCCGGCGACGGCCCAGACAAGCAGAGACAUUCAGGGACACCACCUGCUUUGGGUCUCCCAGCUGCUGGCCGCUGUCUGAACUCCUCGGUUCCCGAUGGUGUUCCCGAUUGUCCAAACCAGCGGCAGCAGGCUGAAUCCUUCUCACAUCCCAUCGCUGCAGCCUUCCCUGCCUCUCCUCGCCUUCCUGGACCCUGGAGGUCACACAGGCUCACGUGGUCGGUCUCCCUACCUCCAGGUCCUUCACUGGGAUGCAGCUGCAAAUUGUCUUUGCCCGGAAGGUGGUGCCUUCACAGGUUCUGAGUGAGGGGGCCACCAUCUGGGGGCUUGGGAGAUGGAAGGGAAACCCUCUGACAUUGCUUCCGGUUCCCUCCCCAGCUCAUGCUGCUCUGCCCACACUGGCAGACCCCAGACCGGAGCUGCCCGCUCCUCUCUCGGAGUGGAAUGCCAUCCCUAAGGUUAAUCUCUGCCCAAGGGCCUGCAAUGAGCCUCCAUCACAGAUUCACCCUGUGUGUUUUACCCUCUCCCCGCGCCUUGUAUUUUCUCUAGCAUUUCUUUCUUUUGCUGGGUGUCUUUCUGGAAGUUAAUUCCUUUGAAGGCAGAAACUUGGUUAGUUUUGGUUCCUUGUGUUACCCCGUGUCUGGCCUGGUGCCUGAUGCAAAGCAGGUCAUGCAAAUGCAUUAAUUUCUCAGUUUUGCUUCUUGAUAGAAUAUUCUCUUUCAUAAACUGGGCCAUAAGAAAUUUCUAUUAUUUGAAUUAAGAGUUGGAUUAAAAUUGAAGUCUAAAUGGUAUGACCAAUGUAUUUGGUAAUUUUACCAAGAUUGCUGCCUGUUUGUGUAAUCUGAGUGGCCAGAUUUACAGCUGACAUCAGUAAGUGAUGAGUUUGUAUGAAAUAUGAAGUAUCUUCUAUGAAUUCUUCUGUUACUGUUUAUACUGUUUUGAGAGGAGAGUUGGAUAAUUGUGCUAGCUUUCCCAUCCCUGGAAUACUGUACCUGACACCUACAGUUUAUAGGAGGAGAGGUUUAUCUGGCUUAUGUUUUCCGGGGCUCAGUCCAUGCUUGGUUGGCUCCAAUGCAGAAGCAUCGUCGUGGAAUGGUGUCGUAGAGCAAAGCUGCUUGGUUCAUGGUGACUGGGAAGCAGAGUAGGGGGACAGUGCCUGAGAGGACGGGAUAAGGGCCCGAUACAGGAAGCAGCACCCAAGGUUGUGCCUCCAGGACCGAUGCAGACACACCCAGAGCGUGGUCCCUUAGGUGACUUCCAACCAAUCAAACUAACAAAGUGAAGUUAAUCACAGCCAUAGCAGUGCUCAAAGUAAUUACUUUGGAAUCCUUAUCUUUCACUAGUUAUUAAAUCUUUUUGCUUUAAAAAUUUUUAAUUGUCUCGCUCCAUGAGAUCAUGGAGGAACAUAUAUACUAUUUUGUCUGUUCUAGGCAAGUAUUCUGCUUACUCAGAGUUCCUUUUAGGAGAAUGCUCCCCCCCUGCCCCCAUUUCCACCACAAAUCCUGGGGACUGCACAAGCAUGGUGCUUGGAGUCUUGGCUGCCAGGAUGGCUGUGUGACCGACUCAGCCUGGACCAGCUGGAGUGGCUGUGGUGGGAGCCACAUAAUCUAAGUGAAUGCAGGGUUCUUCCUCUCCGUUUCUGUACUCAAUGGGGAAGAGAGCGUUCUUGUUCCCCUUGGGUCACUAAGUGUGAAGAUACAAGUCCAGGGUGGCCUGUGGUCUGAGAAGUAAGCAGAAAAUUAAGCAGAGACAGGAGUCCAAAUGUCUUGACCUAUGCAAGGGGUGAUGGAAGCUACAUGCUCAGACUUACAGUGAAAGACAGUUGCCAUUAACCCCCCAAACACCCCCAUGCACUGCAAACACACUGACUUCACUGUCCUUGCCACUUUCUGAAGUCUUCUUCUUUCUUGAGUGUCUUUAUGAGGUAUGAUCAAAAACACGGUGAAUGCCGCUGCCCAGCGCCCUCCAGCAGAAACGCGAUGCUCAAGUUCAGACAGUCACUUAAUGCACCGGAUCUGGCACCGUGUGACUUCGGGGUCUUCCCCCAGAUCAAAAUGACCACAGAAGUGAAGCACUUUUCAGGACAUCAAGGCAGCCACGAUAGCCCAACUAAAGAUGCUCACAAAAGAGAACGUCCAGAACUGCUCUGGAGAGUGUUCGGAAUAAGGAGUGCCAGGCUUGGAAAGCCACACAAGGUCUGUCUUUGGUGCUAUUUUGAGGUGAACAGAGACAACUCUGUGGAGCUCUGUGCCCAGGAGGAUUCUGGGGCUUCAUCUGGGCCAGCAGCAAAGAACGAACUCAGGGUGAGGAAACGAGCUAUUCAACUUGUUCAGGUCUUUGAUCCCUUGAAUUGCAUUUUGGAGCCCUGAAGUCACACAUUUUCUCAUCUAGGAAGAAUUUACCCAAGGACUUGGACCCUUUUCCAGUUCAGAGAAUGUUUCAGUUGUUGGCAGGGCCUCGCCUGCAUAGGAAACUCAGUUCUUUAAUAAUCUGCUCACUGGAGGAUGAGGACAUCUCCUCACAAACACCUUCCUCUACAAACUGCCCAGAUGGUUGCUCCCAGAGCAAGAACAGCGACAUGACCUGAAUUUAGAUGCUGGGACUGAAUGUCAUUUACUGGGACUACUCUUUUUCUGGGGAGAGGGACGCUAAAUCACAGCCACCCUGAAAAAUGGCCAUGCACUGGCAUUGUUGGACAUUUUCUAACAAUCAAAUUGGGCCUCACAUUUUGUUCAUUGGAAGUUCCAUUUCUUCAUCUUUGGACCAAGUUACUUAGCAAUGGCCGAUCAAACUAUGCGCCCACCAUAUUGUUUUGCGUGUUUGACCAGAACAUUGACAGAUUAAUAGGAAGAGUAAAUAGCAACGACUGCCAGGGCUCAGUGUGGGGCAGAGGGAUUGACUACUCCUGACUUUGUUGUGUUUGCUCAGAGGAAGCCGCAGAAAAAGCCUGCUGGGAAGAGGUGACCCGGGUCACGGGCAUUUGUUCCUCGUCUCUAUAGAAAACAAUUGUCUUCUCAAUGGAAGAUGGCUUUUGCUGAAUCUACAUGGUUCCACUGAUGAGGAAGCAUUUGCCAUUCCAGGGUGCUGGCUAAAACAUACACACACACACACAAAGUUCAAAUUUACGGUAUUGCUUAGAGAAUCCUCGGGCUUGGGUUAGCCAGGAGAGGAGCCUAACUUGGGAAAGUUUGUCUCGAGGGUCUCUAAACCUUCACCUAUUCACUGCUGGCUCCCAAUAUUUGAUGUUUAGAAUUUUAUGAAGCUUCAUGAUGAUCUAGUAACCUUCCUGCUUCCCGGCUCACAAAGACAGCACCCAUUAACAUUUAGCAGUGUUGACUUUGUAAACUCUGGCUUUGACGGAAAUCUGUUUGGAGCUCAGAAUUGCUGUCCUCUGCAUUGACAUGAAUGAAUGCAUUAAUAAUGAAGAUAAAUUGACUUUGAGUAAAAUUUAACCAAUCAAAAGUGCUGGCUUUGGUUAAAGGCAGAACUACUAUUUCUGGUUGGUCAGUUUCUUUGAGCAUGGACAGUUUUACAUUUUGAAGUUAUCAUCGUUCUUUACAAUAAAGGCUGCUUCUAAUGAAAGAUUCCAAAGGACUGCGCAGUGAUUUUUGAUUAAGUAUCUCGAUCUCUCUCUCAAUGCGUGUAUGUGUAUUUGUGUGCGUCUGUGAACACACACUUUUUUCCCAAUCAGUCAGACAGACAGACAGACAGACACUCAUUCUGGUAGGAAAGUGCGUUGGACAGAACGGCAUCCUGUAACUUCCGAUAUUUUUAAAUUCAGCUUUGUCAUGUUCGAACGGAUGAAUUCUAACAUUUGUUUCAGCCUUGACUUCCUUGUCUCUCUCUUCUCUGCCUUUUUACUCACUUCUUUUCCUCAUCUUCUUAGAGCUCAAGACUAAGAAAAAAUGCAUGCGAGGAUUAUUUGUGGUGAUGGAAACCAUUUUAGCUCCCCCCGGGCUCCUUAGACUGAGAAACCAGUGGAGAUUCCGGAGGUUCAAACAAAAGGCCAAAGGAAAAACAAAAAGAACAAAAGAAAAAAGGAAACAAAAUUCUAAACAAAAGAGGAAACAAAAACAAAAAAGCCAAACCUGAGAAGUAAAACCUUUUUGGUGUCAUCAAAAACAGAUUAGACUGAGUAUUAAGAAUCAGGAGCUUGGCACGGACGUGAGACAGCUCCCUUCUUCAGCUCAAGUCAGACACCAUCUAUUACGCACCAUCUUUUGUACUCGGGAUAGUUUCUGCCGCACGGAGCUGACAGCUUUUGGUUGGGGCAGGAGGAAAGAUAAUUCCUGGAGGUUUAUAAUCUGGUGUCCUCAGAGCUGUGACAGAGGGCGAGGAGAAAUCAGCUCAGAUCUUUUAAGACUCGGGAACUUGCAUCCUUUUCUGAUCUUUUGCUUCUUUGUAGGUUUAAUUUGAUCUCAUUUUCAAGGCACAAAACAAAGAGUGAUUAUUGACCAGCGCAGACCUGAUGGGAACACAGUGAGACUUGGAGGAGCGAGCAUCCCACUGCUUUGUGGAGGGGCCUGUUCCUGGCUUUCCGUGAAUAUCUGUGGAAUGGGUGGGUGAGUGAGGCAAAGCCAGAGACCUCAGUCACAUCUAUCAGCUGUGUGACCUUCGGCGUGGCCUGAGGUCCCUCGCCUGGACGGGGCUGUACGCCGCUUCCCGUAGCAGUGUCAGCACAGGCCAAAUCCCACUUAUUGUGAAUCUGUUAUGCAGGAGGCACCCAGGUAAAGAUUUUACCUGUUUAUGCUUUUUAUCUUCCCAGCAAAACUACGGACAGGUUCUGUGAUCGGUCCCGAAUUACAGAUGAUCAUGUGUGAUCGUUGCUUUGGCAGAUCGUCAAGGACUGUGUGAUUCAAGGAAAAGUCAUAAUAGUGGUCAUCUUUAAUAUUCUAAAAGACCGAAGCACGCCGGAGCCUUUGUGCGGUUCUGUCUCUUGCCGGUGACCCCGUGCAUUCCUUGCUUUGAGACUCUCACUGUGAGAAUAUUGUGGGUCUCCAUUUAGCUAAGAAACUCUGGAUCACAAAGAAUUAAGAGUCCUCCAAAUCUUCAAGUGUACAUGUCUUGGCACUGGGACCAGGACCUGCGGCCACGGGAGAGGCCUGCUUUGUGUCUGCCUUCUGGUGGACCCUCGGCCGCCCUCUGCUCCCCUCUGAAUAUGUGGUCCCCUCCCUCCCUCCCAGGUGGAUUCUGCAUUCCGUCACCAGGAUAUUUCCCUGUGGUCCCGACCCCUUCCUCAGGAGCUCCCAGCCUCUUUACCCAGCUCUUCCUGCUGCUCUAACUCUCGGGUCUGAUCCAGUGAUUUUUCUCAUUUUCUCUGUGGCAGGAGCCUCCGGUUACCUGAUGGUUCAGACACCCGAAGCAAGGAGGCCAAGCAGGUCCUGUGGCCUUGGGGCUGUGGCAGGUGGCACUCCCAGGCAGGAGCUUGGGGCAAAAUCAGAAGUGGGGUCAAGCCUGUGUCUUCUACUGCUGUCCAGCAACUGAAAAUAUUACACACUUACGUUGCCAA